UGAGAAGCAUCUCCAAAACCAAGCCAGACUCACAAAUCGAACUAGAAAAUCACAGUCCUUAAUUUAUACAUAUUCUCCUAAACCUGAGAACACUCUUAAAUCGAAUAACAUUAAAACAGCAAACCAAAUCCAGACCUUUAAACAAAAUAUAAUAUCAGUGAAUGAAAUAUACAUAAUAAGCUAGUCUAAAAGAAACACGAACAAAAAUAUGACAAAUUCGAGCAGUAAUCAACAACAGAAGACUAGCAUUUGUCAUUUUUCUUCAACUUGGAUUACAUGUCUUCACAUUUGCACCUCAUAUGCUACUCAAAAGCCAAAGCAUACCUGAAUACAACAAUCAAAACCAAGAAGAAGUUGUGCUUAAGAGAGAAUGCAGAAAUUCAGUCACAUCAACAAUACUUCCACAGGAAUGAAACAGUGCUAAAGCAGCAAAUCAACCAAAACUUUUAAACUAACUCAAGCCAUUUUUUCAACCCAGGUGCACGGUUUUGGAGUUUUUUUAGAAGUUCUAACUAACAAAGGGAAUCAGAGAACCAAAAACCAAGCACAAUUUAAGCAAUUUUCAGUAUUUUGGAAUUUGAAAGAGAACUCAACUGCUUCUAAAAUUCUCAGUGUUUUUUCAGUCUCCCA
rnacentral:lncRNA from 1 species